rnacentral:rRNA from 1 species
AUCUAUGGCCAUGCUACCCUGAACAAGCCCAAUCCCAUCUGAUCUCAGAAGCUAAGCAGGGUUGGGCCUGGUUAGUACUUCGAUGGGAGACCGCCUAGGAAGACCAGGUGCUGUAGGCG